rfam:Parcubacteria bacterium GW2011_GWA2_47_8 TY09_C0001, whole genome shotgun sequence.
UACUGUUAUAUAGUGAUUCCCAAUUGCAACAACGCUGGAUUUCUGAAGUGAGUAAGUUUUCCGGAUUUUCAGAAACCGUAGUAGAGAAGUACGCUACGGCAAAGAAAGCCAAAUGGAAACGCUUCAGAAAGUGAUAUAGUCCGAUCCUCUGGGUAACCAGAGUACAAUUACACGUGACCCGUGUAGUCCAGGCCCUAAACGAUGUCGACUAGUCAUGUGGAGUGUCGACCCUCCACGUGGCGUAGCUAACGCGUUAAGUCGACCGCCUGGGAAUUACGAUCGCAAGAUUAAAACUCAAAGGAAUAGACGGGGACCCGUACAACCGGUGGAGCGUCUGGUUUAAUUCGACAAUAAGCGAAGAACCUUACCACGGCUUGACAUGCUCUAGAAAGCUUCUGGAAACAGGAGCCCUCCUUACGGACUGGAAGCACAGGUGCUGCAUGGUUGUCGUCAGCUCGUAUCGUGAGACGUUCCGUUAAGUCGGGUAACGAGCGCUACCCCUGCUGUCUGUUAUAAGUGUCAGACAGGACUGCCGACUCUACGUCGGAGGAAGGCGGGGAUGACGUCAAAUCAGCAUGGCCCUUACGUCGUGGGCGACACAGGCGCUACAAUGGGUGGGACAAUGGGUUGCCAAACCGCAAGGUGGAGCUAAUCCCAUCAAACCCAUCCUCAGUUCAGAUUGGGGUCUGCAAUUCGACCCCAUGAAGUCGGAAUCGGUAGUAAUCGCGGAUCAGCCACGCCGCGGUGAAUACGUUCUCGGGUCUUGUACUCACAUUACACAACGCGUCGGGCAGUUUGUCAAACAAGCAGGUUAAAAUCCUGC